rnacentral:tRNA from 1 species
GGGUCGGUGCGCCGAGCAGCGAAGGCAGCGGGUUGUAAACCCGUGACAUCAGAAACACCGGUGGUGCAAUUCCACCCCGACCCACCA